rnacentral:rRNA from 1 species
UAAAGGCUCACCAAGGCAAUGAUGGGUAGCCGGCCUGAGAGGGCGUACGGCCACACUGGGACUGAGACACGGCCCAGACUCCUACGGGAGGCAGCAGUAGGGAAUCUUCCGCAAUGGGCGAAAGCCUGACGGAGCGACGCCACGUGGAUGAUGAAGGCCUUCGGGUCGUAAAAUCCUGUCAGGGGGGACGAUGGUCGAUCUUCGGAUUGAUUGACGGUACCCUCAGAGGAAGCUCCGGCCAACUACGUGCCAGCAGCCGCGGUAAUACGUAGGGAGCAAGCGUUGUUCGGAUUUACUGGGCGUAAAGAGUGCGUAGGCGGUUAUAUAAGUCAAAGGUGAAAUCUUCACUUUCAAGGUGGAAACUGCCUCUGAUACUGUAUAACUAGAGGGCAAGAGGGGGAAAUGGAACUCUGGGAGUAGCGGUGAAAUGCGUAGAUAUCCAGAGGAACGCCGGUAGCGAAGGCGAUUUCCUGGCUUGCAUCUGACGCUGAGGCACUAAAGCUAGGGUAGCGAUCGGGAUUAGAGACCCCGGUAGUCCUAGCCCUAAACGAUGGGUACUAAGUGUGGGGGGAGCAUUACCCUCCGUGCUGAAGCUAACGCGUUAAGUACCCCGCCUGGGGAGUACGGUCGCAAGACUGAAACUCAAAAGAAUUGACGGGGGGCUGAACAAGCAGUGGAGCACGUGGUUUAAUUCGACGCAAA